rnacentral:misc_RNA from 1 species
GCUGACUAUGAAAUUUAAAUUGGGAAGCAUACUCAUAUUUUUCAUUGGAUUGAAGUUUGUGUUGGACUUUUAUUUUGAUUUUACAUUGAAUUUGCGACACUGGUCGGUUCUGGUCAAUUAAAAGGCAUUGACAUGGCGAGUCAUAAUUUUGGGAAUUGGGAAGUGAUGUUGGACGAAAGGGGUAUGUGCUGUUAUAGUGCUCUUUAACUUUCUCUUGGAUGGUCUGUUAUCAAACUAUGGUCUCAAGGCUAUAGUGUAAUUUGAUCUACCAUUAUUAUUGUGAUGAUGAAUUGAUAUGCGAUAACUGAGAUACCAUGAUAUGCGAUAACUGAGAUACCAUGUAAUCACAGUUUGUUGCCAUUUUUUGUGUUAAAAUUAAAGGGCACAGUUGUCCAUCACAUGCAUGCGCAAUAUUGUUCAUAAAUAUACUUUUUCGAAAUCUGGAGUAGGUAGUUCUUGGCAUGUAUGAUCAUGUACACAGGAUAAGGUGCACAGCAGGAUUUUGUUUCAUGUUGGACUUCAAAACUUAUGCUGCAUGCCUGUAUUAAUUGCAAAUUUUGUGCAGGAGGAACUCAGAG